rnacentral:rRNA from 1 species
AGAGUUUGAUCCUGGCUCAGAAUCAACGCUGGCGGCGUGCCUAACACAUGCAAGUCGCACGAGAAAGUGGAGCAAUCCAUGAGUAAAGUGGCGUACGGGUGAGUAACACGUGACUAACCUACCCUCGAGUGGGGAAUAACCUCGGGAAACCGGGGCUAAUACCGCAUAACAUCGCGAGAUCAAAGCAGCAAUGCGCUUGAGGAGGGGGUCGCGUCUGAUUAGCUAGUUGGUAGGGUAACGGCCUACCAAGGCGAUGAUCAGUAGCCGGCCUGAGAGGGCGCACGGCCACACUGGAACUGAAACACGGUCCAGACUCCUACGGGAGGCAGCAGUGGGGAAUUUUGCGCAAUGGGGAAAACCCUGACGCAGCAACGCCGCGUGGAGGAUGAAGUCCCUUGGGACGUAAACUCCUUUCGAUCGGGACGAUUAUGGCGGUACCGGAAGAAGAAGCCCCGGCUAACUUCGUGCCAGCAGCCGCGGUAAUACGAGGGGGGCAAGCGUUGUUCGGAAUUAUUGGGCGUAAAGGGUGCGUANGCGGUGCGGUAAGUCUGAUGUGAAAUCUCCGGGCUCAACUCGGAGUCUGCAUCAAAAACUGCCAUGCUGGAGUGUGG